UUAUUGUUCGCGAAUAUUCAAUUUGGAAUGCGAUUUUGUUAAUAAAAAAAAUACUUAUAACUUAUGCAAAACCCAAGAGAGGCAUUUAUAUUUAUUUCUUUUGCGUUCAUUUUCAAAUUCGCCGUGCAUAUAUUUUUGUGCAUGGCGCUUGAGAGGGCAUCACGUGACUAAAAACGACCAACCAACGACCUCGCUUCGGCCAUCUUGGCAUCUUCAUCUUGGCGACCUUGCCUUGCCGUGGAUUGUUUUUAGUUGUUUGUAUUAUUUGUGCUUUUUAAGAAUAUUUUUUUAAUUCGGAUACUUUUAUAAUAGCUUUAAUAGUAUUAUUAACAUAGUGCAUAAAAUGGUGUCCUGUUUUUAACGCAGUUGGAGUAGCAGAAACAAAUGUAGAUAAAAAAAUCUGCAGGAAUAACGUUUCAAUUAUGACAGAAGCUCAAAACAAAUGACUGAAUGAAAAGCCCUAUUAAAAGCUUUCCAGAAGAUCCUGCGAAGAAGACAUGAAGUAUAGAUCAGAUUUGUUAAUAGAGGAGUAUGUUCAAAACACUUUUUAGAAAAAGAUAUUGACAGAACUUCACUUUCAUCUGUUCGUUUGAGAGACUGUGCUGUUCCAAUAGCUUAUGUCACACAGAAUCAGCUGAGAGAAGUGGUCUACAAAAAACCAGAAAGGAAACGGAAUAUGUGGCUACGAAAAGCAAAAGAAAGGUUUACAAAGCAAAUGUGACACAUUUUUUUAUAAUAUUUAGGAAUGUCAGCAAAUUACAUUAAAAAAUGUAUGUAAAGAUUUUUUGCAAUAAAAAUGUUUAUAUUUA